GAUCCUGGCUUAGAACGAACGCUGGCGGCGCGUUUAAGCAUGCAAGUCGAGCGGCAAGGGCCUUCGGGCCCCUAGAGCGGCGGACGGGUGAGUAACACGUGGACAAUCUGCCCCCCGGCCCGGGAUAGCCCAGGGAAACCUGGAUUAAUACCGGAUGAGACGGGACCCGCGAUGGCGGGACCCGGGAAAGGCGCUGCGGCGCCGCCGGGGGAUGAGUCUGCGUCCCAUUAGCUAGACGGCGGGGUAACGGCCCACCGUGGCGACGAUGGGUAGCCGGCCUGAGAGGGUGGACGGCCACAUUGGAACUGAGACACGGUCCAGACUCCUACGGGAGGCAGCAGCUAAGAAUCUUCCGCAAUGGGCGAAAGCCUGACGGAGCCGACGCCGCGUGAACGAAGAAGGCCGUGAGGUUGUAAAGUUCUUUUCGGGAGGGGAACAACCGUGGCAGGGAAUGGCCGCGGGAUGACGUGAAUCCCGGAAUAAGCCCCGGCUAACUACGUGCCAGCCGCCGC
rnacentral:rRNA from 1 species